CCCUUAGACGUUCUGGGCCGCACGCGCGCUACACUGACCGGUGCAACAAGCAUCCGUCCUUGGCCGACAGGCCCGGGCAAUCUUUGAACGCCGGUCGUGAUGGGGAUAGACUUUUGCAAUUUUUGGUCUUCAACGAGGAAUUCCUAGUAAACGCAAGUCAUCAACUUGCAUUGAUUACGUCCCUGCCCUUUGUACACACCGCCCGUCGCACCUACCGAUCGAAGAGUUAGGUGAAUUGUCUUGAUCGAUAAGAUUUGACUAUGGUCAACUCUCGUUGUGAAAUUCUGUGAAUCUGACUGUUUAGAGGAAGGAAAAGUCGUAACA
rnacentral:rRNA from 1 species